rnacentral:lncRNA from 1 species
AAAGCAGGGAAAUAACAGGCCACUGAUGAAGCAGGAUCAGAACUCCUGAUAUGGAUUUCAGAGAAAUCCUAGAUUGUCCUGGAAGACAGUCUGAAAGCUGCUAGUUUGAUGACUACUCAGACCAUGACUUGCAGGGGAACAGGGCCAGCCCUUCCAUUAGGAAGAGUGGGACAAUUGCCCUAGGCAGCAGGUCCUGAGAGAAGGAGGAGAGAGCUGGGCCCCAGGCAGCUUGCUCUGUGCCUCCCUGGUGCAGUGGAGGAUCAGCCCCCUUGUCCCUGCUGAUGACAAAUUCAUCUGCAAGUCCAGGCUGCUUUUGUGUAUGGAAUGGGAGAGGGCACCCUCUUGUUCUUUGCCUUGGACAGCAAACUACCCUGGGAUCACUGUGCAUGAGGACAUGUCUGAGCCUGCAGUGACUGUUGCGACUGUCCUUCAUCACGAUGACUUCACAGGAAAUCAUUUGGGGAAAAAAUGAUGGAAUAAAGGCAUUCUCUUGGCAAUGACGAGCUGCUCU